AAAACAACAGAGGGAAGAUCAUGAGUUCUAUUCCAGGACCAUACAUAAGAGAGGUUCCAUAAAAACAGAGGGAAGAUCAGGAGUUCUAUUCCAGGACCAUACAUAAGAGAGGUUCCAUAAAAACAGAGGGAAGAUCAGGAGUUCUAUUCCAGGACCAUACAUAAGAGAGGUUCCAUAAAAACAGAGGGAAGAUCAGGAGUUCUAUUCCAGGACCAUACAUAGGAGAGGUUCCAGAAAAACAGAGGGAAGAUCAGGGGUCAUAUUCCAG